rnacentral:rRNA from 1 species
UACGAAGGGGGCUAGCGUUGUUCGGAAUCACUGGGCGUAAAGGGCGCGUAGGCGGCUUUUCAAGUCGGGAGUGAAAGCCUGUGGCUCAACCACAGAAUUGCCUUCGAUACUGUUAGGCUUGAGACCGGAAGAGGUGAGUGGAACUGCGAGUGUAGAGGUGAAAUUCGUAGAUAUUCGCAAGAACACCAGUGGCGAAGGCGGCUCACUGGUCCGGUUCUGACGCUGAGGCGCGAAAGCGUGGGGAGCAAACAGG